UACAGAGGUCUCAAGCGUUGUUCGGAUUCAUUGGGCGUAAAGGGUGCGUAGGCGGCGCGGUAAGUCGGAUGUGAAAUCUCGGAGCUUAACUUCGAAACUGCAUUCGAUACUGCCGUGCUUGAGGACUGGAGAGGAGACUGGAAUUUACGGUGUAGCGGUGAAAUGCGUAGAUAUCGUAAGGAACACCAGUGGCGAAGGCGGCUCACUGGUCCGGUACUGACGCUGAGGUGCGAAAGCGUGGGGAGCAAACAGG
rnacentral:rRNA from 1 species